GAUGAACGCUAGCUACAGGCUUAACACAUACAAGUCGAGGGGUAACGAGAGGAAAGCUUGCUUUCCUUGUCGACUACCGGCGCACGGGUGAGUAACGCGUAUCCAACCUGCCUCCAACUAGGGAAUAACCUUGCGAAAGUAAGACUAAUACCCUAUAAUUUGCUCAGAUGCCAUCUGACGAGGAAUAAAGAUUUAUCGGUUGUGGAUGGGGAUGCGUCUGAUUAGCUUGUUGGCGGGGUAACGGCCCACCAAGGCAACGAUCAGUAGGGGUUCUGAGAGGAAGGUCCCCCACAUUGGAACUGAGACACGGUCCAAACUCCUACGGGAGGCAGCAGUGAGGAAUAUUGGUCAAUGGGCGGAAGCCUGAACCAGCCAAGUAGCGUGCAGGAUGACGGCCCUAUGGGUUGUAAACUGCUUUUAUACAGGAAUAAAGUUAGCCACGUGUGGUUAUUUGUAGGUACUGUAUGAAUAAGGACCGGCUAAUUCCGUGCCAGCAGCCGCGGUAA
rnacentral:rRNA from 1 species